rnacentral:rRNA from 1 species
UACGGAGGAUGCAAGCGUUAUCCGGCAUGAUUCGGCGUAAAGCGUCCCCCGGGGGUUGUGUGUGUCUAUUGUCAAAGCAUCAUGCUUAACAUGAUAAAGGUAGUAGAAACUACACGACUAGAGUGCGUUCGGGGCAGAGGGAAUUCCUGGGGUAGCGGUGACAUGCGUAGAGAUCAGGAAGAACACCGGUGGCGAAAGCGCUCUGCUAGGCCGCAACUGACACUGAGGGACGAAAGCUAGGGGUGCCAAUGGG